UACGUAGGGGGCGAGCGUUGUCCGGAAUCAUUGGGCGUAAAGCGCGCGCAGGCGGCUUGGUAAGUUGGGGGUGAAAUCCCUGGGCUCAACCCAGGAAUGGCCUUCAAGACUGCUUGGCUGGAGGACGAGAGAGGUGAGUGGAAUUCCCAGUGUAGAGGUGAAAUUCGUAGAUAUUGGGAAGAACACCGGUGGCGAAGGCGGCUCACUGGCUCGUUUCUGACGCUGAGGCGCGAAAGCGUGGGGAGCAAACGGG
rnacentral:rRNA from 1 species